GACGAACGCUGGCGGCGUGCCUAAUACAUGCAAGUUGAGCGAUGAAGAUUGGUGCUUGCACCAAUUUGAAGAGCAGCGAACGGGUGAGUAACGCGUGGGGAAUCUGCCUUUGAGCGGGGGACAACAUUUGGAAACGAAUGCUAAUACCGCAUAACAACUUUAAACAUAAGUUUUAAGUUUGAAAGAUGCAAUUGCAUCACUCAAAGAUGAUCCCGCGUUGUAUUAGCUAGUUGGUGAGGUAAAGGCUCACCAAGGCGAUGAUACAUAGCCGACCUGAGAGGGUGAUCGGCCACAUUGGGACGGAGACACGGCCCAAACGCCUACGGGAGGCAGCAGGAGGGAAUCGUCGGCAAUGGACGAAAGUCUGACCGAGCAACGCCGCGUGAGUGAAGAAGGUUGUCGGAUCGUAAAACUCUGUUGGUAGAGAAGAACGUUGGUGAGAGUGGAAAGCUCAUCAAGUGACGGUAACUACCCAGAAAGGGACGGCUAACUACGUG
rnacentral:rRNA from 1 species